GGUCAUUCAAACUCCAGCCGGGAGAAGGCGGAGCUGCUUCUGGGCUGCUGCUGAUCAAACGUGGAGACGGACAGACAGCGCUGCGCGCGCGCGCGCCUUCGCGAUGCCCAUUAAUGAAGUCCUGGCACCAGGAGCCGAAGACUGCUGUUUACUAAACAGUCCCUCGGAGAGAAAUGUGGAAGCAGCUCAGAAAGCUAUCAUAGGAAUGCAAUCUGUAUGCUAAAAAGGCUUCCACGGUGUUAGCAGGGAAGUUGAAGGUAAAUCUGGUGCUUAGGGCUAGCGAAACAUUUCUACCCCGUUCCUAACAGCAUCUCAGGAUGGCUUACAAAUCAGGGGGAUAGAGUCCAACUUCAGAUUUACAGAAUAAUUGGGUGCACUGCAGGGUUUGAAAGGCACCACAACUGCAGAGAACAUUCUUGAAGGUGUGUGAAUCAGUGGAAAAUCUUGUUCUGAGUUGGAAUAAAUUGAAAAGCAUCACAACGGAUAGUACAAGAAAUAUGGUGGGAAGUAAAACUGGAUCAUCCAUCAGCAAGCCUUGUGUAGUAAGAUUCUUCAGUGGGAAAGUAUGAUGGAUAUUGUUGUUUCCAACAUUAAUUACAUCAGGCAUCAUGGCCUUUCUCAUUGUCAUUUUCAAAAUUUUCUCUGAGAGAUAGAUGCAGAUUAUGGAGAAGUAUUGUACCAUGCAGAAGUCAGGUGGCUUAGCAGAGGCAAAGUCCUCAAACCUUUUUUCAGUCUUCAUCGUGAAGUUGAUGUCUUUCUCAAGGAGAAAGGGAAAGGUCAAAAAGUACGUUCUGACCCUGGAUGGAUUUUUGAUUUGGCUUUCUGAACUGAUACCAUAAAGCAUCCGAACACACUGAAUCUAAGGUUGCAGGGAAAGGGAAAGCUUGUGUGUGACAUGUGUUCUGAAUUGAAAUAUUUUGAAGCAAAACUGAACAUUUUUGUGAAGCAAGUUAGUGAAAAUAACUUUUCAAACUUCUCAUGCUGCAAUGAUCAGAAAUUUACAAUUCAAUGUUGAAAGAUUCAUCAAGGCACUGAACCUAUUGCAGGUGGAAUUCCAGAACAGAUUCACUGAUUGCCAUAAGCAUGGAAAGGAAACAAGAAUGUUUCAGAAUCCAUUUGAAGUAGCACCGGAAGAUUCUGCAAGUAAUUUUUUUUUGCAGAUGGAAUGAAUUGAUUCGCAAACCAGUGAUCAUCACAGAAACAUUUAGAAAGAAAAUAGUCUGUUAUAUUUCUAUUGUAGUCUACCUGAUAUAUAUUUAUCAACCUAAAGACAUCUGCUGCAGGCAUCUUCAGUCUUUGGCACCACAUACAUCUGUGAACAAACCAUUUUGAAGAUGAAAAUUGUGAAAUCUAAGUGUCGGUCAAGACUUACAGAUGAACAUUUUAAGGGUGUCUGUCACAAAUCUUGACUUGGACAUUAAUGCCUCAGCUAACAGAAAACAACCACCAAAAUCACACCAAUAAGGUAAGCAUGUGUUGCUAAAUAAAAUGAUUCCACAGUAAAA